rnacentral:rRNA from 1 species
CGGGUGCGUAACACGUGAGCAACCUACCGAAAUGCGGGGAUAGCCGGCCUAACGGCCGAGUAAUACCGCAUACGCUCUCUAUGAGGCAUUUCAUGGGGAGGAAACCUACGGGGUAUUUCGAGGGGCUCGCGGCCUAUCAGCUAGUUGGCGAGGUAACGGCUCACCAAGGCAACGACGGGUAGCUGGUCUGAGAGGAUGGCCAGCCACAUUGGAACUGAGAUACGGCCCAG